rnacentral:rRNA from 1 species
UACGUGUGAGGCAAGCGUUAUUCGUCUUUAAUGGGUCUAAAGGGUACGUAGGCGGUAUAUAUAAUCUUAUUAUUAAUCACCUUAGAGUGGGUUUGCAUAUUUAUAUACUAGAGUUAUAAAAAGGAGUAACAAACACGACAAGAGGAGUGUGACAAUACUAAUAUACUUGAAAGGUUGCGUAGCGGCGAAAGCGUGUUACUAUAGAAAACUGACGCUAAGGUACGAAGGCAUAGGUAUCGAUCGGG